AGGCCAAAGAAGAAGAGGAUUUGGAUUUGAACAAAUGUGAUUCUGAAGUGACUAUGAAUAACAACCACUGAUUAAAAUAUAUGUGGAACAUAUUAAUAUGUUAAUUAUGCAGCUUAAGAAAGAAGAGGUUAAUCUGGGCUGGGAUUUUAAAAGAUGGCUUCAUAGAAGAGGUGAGAUAUGGAUGAAAAGUCAGAUAUGGACAGAAGGUUUUCUUCACCAUGACUUGCUUCACCACUUAACACCCAAGCCGAACACAGAGCCUGGCACAUAGUACAUACUCAGAAAUAUUUGUUGAAUAAAUAACAUGUGAAUGAAUGAAGCUAUGAGAGCAAAGAAUUCUUUCCAACUUUCAUCACAUCAGAUCUUACAUUGUACUGGCCAAAAAGUGAAAGGAGGAAAGAAAUGGAAGCAGAGAAAAAGAGUCAAUGUUCUUCUCUCUACUCCAAAAUUUCACAGACUUGCAAUAAUGUCUCCUCCAAGAAGAGCCUCCCAGACUUCUCAGUUUGUUUUUAUCUGGAAAGAAGAAAGAGGAAGACAAGAAAGUCUUUGCUGCUCACUGUUGGUGCUUCCCACUAAUAAAAACAAAUAUUUCAGCAAAAAGUUAACAGU